rnacentral:misc_RNA from 1 species
AAUAUUUGAGAAUUUUAGAGAGAUGACACGAGAUUAUUGGCACCGAUUGAGGUCGACAUUUGUUAAUGAGAGACAUGCCUUUUAUACUGUUGCCUGGCGCUAUUCAACUGUUUGGAGUUCCUAGAACUGGACCAUUAGAAUGCAAUGAAGAUGCUCUACCAUUUAGAGAAGCUUCAAGAAGAAGGCAAUUGCUGGGCAAUAUAGAUGAGAAUAAUUGUUUUAACAUGUCCAGUUUACUGAAGUUUCCCAAAUCAAAUGUUCAUGUAAAGCAUUUAAAAUUGAAAUGGAGGAAGUUUGAUAGAUUGGCAGCACAACUUGGUGGAGCAAGAAACAUAUUUUCUGAACUAUUUGGAGCUAAUAGAGCUGAAAACACCUUUUGGUUGGACAGUUCCUCAGUAGAGAAGGUUUUUCUUUUGCUGCUCUAUCAUCUAUCAGCUAAAAAUUGCAAUUUACAGUGAACUGCAGCUUUUAAGUUUUGUUGAUUCCCAUUGUUAAUAACGAGCAAAAUUUGGUACUUAAACGCAUGACUUCUUUUAUAGUAAUUCAAUAACCAGUGGAAUGGAGUGCUUACCCUUGCUUUUUUAAUUAGAAACUUUUUGCUUAUCAGAUUAACCAGAUUUUGUUGCUGGCUAUAUUGUGAGGUUAACUAAAAUUUCCUUCUUGGAAUUAAUGUUUGGUAUCAAAUUGGGUAAAUAAUGGGGAGUAUUAGAAAUUGAGAAGAUAGUCUGUAUUUCUUUAUGAAUUUCUUAAAUGUUUGAUUCAUAUGAUUAUAUACAUCAACUUCAGCAUAUUGGAGAAAUUUAGUUAUGGAGUCACAUCACAUGAAGGCAAUUCUGUGGAGCAUAUGGAGAAAUACCAUACUUGGGGGAGGUCAACUGUUAUCUUUUGACUUGCACAUGUGUGAAUAGAGGAUUGUGGACAUAGGUACGUAUUUGAUUAUAAAGUAAACUCAACUAAAUUUACCGGUUGUUUGGUGAUACGUCUGAUUAGAAGGUUAGGUAUGUAAACUCAACUAAAGGAGGUGGGUACUUACUGAACAAAGGGGUAUUUGAUUAUAAAGUCGUCCAAGCUGACUUACGGUAAAAAACAAUGGAAUUUGUUAUGGUUUAAAAAUCUGUGAUUGUUAGAUUAAGUGUAGAGGGAUAAACUGUAUAAGGUUUUGAAAUGGAGUAGUAGUUAAGUGCAGGAGAUUUGUGAUUUUAUAGUUCGAGCUUGAGCACCAUUUCAUAUUCCAUGGUCUUGGUAAAUUUUAUUUUAUCAUUUUUGUUAUAUUAUUGUUAUCAGCAUCAGCUUCAUUAUUAUUAGUAGUAUUAUUAUUGUUGUUGUUGCUGCUAUUACUGAUAUUGUUGUUGUUAUUAUUGUAGUUUACAUUCUAGAUUUUUGACAUCUAAUCAUUUUUGUGUUUUGAAUUCUUAGGGAAGGGCACGCUUUUCGUUUAUGGGAGGUAAAGGUGGAUCACUUUGGAAGCAAAUUACAUUUAGAUUGUCAGAUCAAAGGAACUCCUAUCAUUCCAUUAUGAUGAAAAAGAUUUUGAAGGACUGCCAUUUGACUUCUAUGGUGGAUAUAUUGGGUAAGUUUAUUAAAAUUUAUGCUUUCAAAUCUUGGCUGACUGGUGUCAUGAGUUUGCUAAUGCUUUUUUAUCAUUUAAAAUGCAGGCUUUAUGAAAGUUGAUUAUGGAUUUAUAUUUUAUACAUAUAUUCAAAUUUUAGUUUGAAAUUUAUCUACAUUUAUUUGGCUUCCUUCCAAUUGAGUUUGGCUACCUUGCCCUGGCUUGCAAGAGGGAGAAUUGGGACUGAUCGAGGAAUCAUAGUGCUGAGGCUUUCCACUUUUCAUACUCUUUUGGAUGCCAAUCCUUGCAACAUUUAUAUGAUUAUGUCUGCAUAUUAUUCUGCAUACUGUGGAUGUGUUUAUAUGCCUGUCUAUACAAAGAAAGUACGCGAAAUUGUUUGAUAAAAAAAGAAGAGAGAACCUAGAAAGCAAAAUCAAAAGGGUUAGUUGCUGAAAAAUUGCUGAAGCAUGGGUAAUUACAGUGCAUGCCCUAUUGUCAAAAACAUUUCAAUACAAACCCUAAAAGAAUAUAAGAACUUAAUUCAAACCUUGAUAGAAUUAUCUUUGCUCAAAUUCUUACAAAUUUCAAGAAAAAAUUUUGCCAAUGAGGUGCUUAAAAAUAGUUCUCUGAGUGGAUAUUCAAUUUGUAUCGGCAAUAACAAUUGAAAUAUGGAUUAUAUUAUUUUACUUUUAAGUCUAAAACUUCUCCCUGAGAUUUCUUAAAUAAUAUUAAACCAUCUUAUGUAAUAUGUAAAAAUAUGAGAUAUUAAAACCGUAAUGCAAUUCUGUUGAAAUUCUUAAAUUGUUCAAUGUUUAAAUUGUAACGUUUUAAACAUAGGGCUAAAAUUGGAACCGACCAUAUCCUCCAGGUCUUAUUUCAUUUUAUUAAGGGUCAAAAUAGUCACCAUGGUAUAUAUCAUAGGAUUAGACGAUGACAACAAUAAUGAUUAAGCAUUAAUCCCAAAUUAGUCAGGAUGGGCUACAUGGAUCAUUUUUUCAGCAUUCUGCUCUCUAUCAUUUUAGGUCUCUCCCUUUAUCUUCUCACUCCUUGUGCUGCUAAUCUGCCUUUUUAAGUUAACAUAAUAAGCAUAUGCUUGUUUAUUCAUUCAUUUGAAGAGAAGAUAGAAUUGUGGAAUGUGAUUUUCCACUUAAAGAAAAUAUUAAUAAAUGAAUAUUGAAAUCUUAGUCGAACUAGAAUUAAGGUAAUCUUGUUUGAAAUUGGUUUUUCAUGCCAUAACCAAUAUUUAUCCAGAAUUUUCCUGGAUCCUGAUAUUAAUUUUUUUUGUCUAACUUAUUUUUAUUUUAAUGUAGGUAUAACCUUAAAAUUGAAUGUGGCAUGCUAGCUAAUUGUUACAAAUCUAAGACUCCGGAUGCUUGCUUUUUCUUUGCUGAUAAUUUUGUAGUCAUUGAUCAUCUUUAUGAUGAUGUUUAUAUAAUGUCAAUACAAGAAGGAAACACAGCCAAUACACCAUGGUUGGAUGAUGUAGAGCAGAAGCUCCUUCAUUUGGAAGCAUCUGCUGCAAAGAAGUUAGGGAAGCAGCCUUCACAACCUGCAAAAUUUUCCCCAUGCAAGGCAGGCUUUCUUGCUGAGAAGUCGAAAGAGCAGUAUAUUAAUGAUGUGCACAAGUGUCUGGAAUACAUUAAAGAUGGAGAAAGCUACGAGUUAUGUCUCACUACUCAAAUAAGAAAAAGAGUUGGAGAUAUAGAUUCUCUUGGACUUUAUCUUCACCUUAGAGAGAAAAAUCCAGCACCAUAUGCUGCAUGGCUUAACUUUUCAAAUGAAAAUUUGUGCAUAUGCUGUUCUUCUCCUGAGAGGUUCUUGCGCUUGAACAGAAAUGGUGUUCUGGAAGCAAAGCCCAUAAAGGGUACUAUGGCUCGUGGUGCAACACAGGAAGAAGAUGAACAGCUUAAAUUGCAAUUACAGUGCAGCUUCUUGCUUGUUGCUUCUUGUUUCCCGGAUUUGGCCGUUUACCAAAACUCCAGAUAGCAUAUCUUAUCCUUUUUCUUAUGCCUGAUGCACCUGAGGGAAGUGACUUAGUCUUUUGAAUUCAAUAAAGAUGCAAAGGUUUCAAUUCAACUAAGUUAUCCAUCUUCAGUUCAAGAGUCACUCUCUUCUUGCACUUAACUGACUCUCUCUUGCUGCCCCCCUAAACAGUGAAAAGGAUCAAGCUGAAAAUCUGAUGAUUGUUGAUCUCUUGAGGAAUGAUCUUGGCCGUGUCUGUGAACCUGGCUCGGUUCAUGUGCCUUGUCUUAUGGACGUGGAAUCGUAUGCAACCGUCCAUACAAUGGUGAGUACAAUUCGAGGAAAGAAGAGGUCAAACGUCAAUGCAGUUGACUGUAUCCGGGCUGCAUUUCCAGAUGGUUCAAUGACCGGAGCACCAAAGUUGAGAUCUAUGGAACUUCUUCAUUCUCUUGAAAGUUGUUCCCGCGGCAUCUACUCAGGUUCUAUUGGAUUUUUCUCAUACAAUCAGACAUUUGAUCUUAAUAUUGUGAUAAGAACGAUCGUAAUACAUGAAGGUGAAGCUUCUAUAGGAGCAGGUGGAGCCAUUGUUGCGUUGUCAAAUCCUGAAGAUGAGUAUGAUGAAAUGAUACUGAAAACAGGUGCACCAGCAAAGGCAGUGGUAGAAUUUCAAUAGGUUCGGAAUUGACACUGUAGAGUAUUAAGAGUUGUAUUUUUGUUCUUCUUAGAGUCUGUUACUAUCACACACAAGAACACUUAGGCCUGCAGAAAACAGGGGCAAGGUAGCAUCAAUUUUUCUUUUUUAGCCGAGCUCACAGAUUCAUUUCAUGAGAGAAUAGAUGUCCAUUUUUUUUAAUCUUUUUUUUUUCUCAAACAUUUGCGUGGUUCAGUGCCAUGAUUUUGAUUUGAUUUGUAUCCAAUUGAUUAUCAUUACAAACAUUU